GAAGAUGGAUAACGAAAGGAAAACUUUCGAUAAUACAAGACGGGAAAGAGAGCGGAGAAGGAGGGAGUAAUAGUCUUCGCUAGAAAAGGGUGAGUGAUCACCCGAAACUCUAUUCGACCUUUAUGUAUCAAAAAGAUGGGUGUGUAAGGGAGAGCAAUGUUGAUGACGCAUACGGAGAAUAAGGGUUCGAUUCCGGAGAGGGAGCAAGAGAGAUUGCUACUACUUCUAUGGAAGGCAGCAGGCGCGAAAAUUGCCCAAUCGGAAAUACCGGAGGCAGUGAAAAGGAAUAAGAAUGACAAAGGAAGCAAUUCCGAGUCAAUUCAAAUGAGUUAGAUGAAAAAUAGCAAACGAGAAGCAAGUGGAGGGCAAGUCUGGUGCCAGCAGCCGCGGUAAUACCAGCUCCACU
rnacentral:rRNA from 1 species